GACGAACGCUGGCGGCGUGCUUAACACAUGCAAGUCGAACGGAGUGGCGAACGGGUGAGUAACACGUGGGUGAACUGCCCUGCACUUCGGGAAACGCCUGGGAAACUGGGUCUAAUACCGGAUAGUGUGGGAUGGGCCCGCGGCCUAUCAGCUUGUUGGUGGGGUAUUGGCCUACCAGUGCGGCGACGGGUAGCCGGCCUGGGAGGGUGGACGGGCACAAUGGGACUGAGGCAGGGCCCAGACUGCUACGGGAGGCAGCAGUGGGGAGUAUUGCACAAUGAGCUGAAGCCUGAUGCAGCGGCGCCGCGUGGGUGAUGACGGCCUUCUGGUUGUAAACUCCUUUCACCGUCGACGCGGUAGAUGGAGAAGAAGCACCGGCUAACUACGUGCCAGCCGCCGCGGUAAUAC
rnacentral:rRNA from 1 species